rnacentral:rRNA from 1 species
AGCGAACGCUGGCGGCAGGCCUAACACAUGCAAGUCGAACGAACUCUUCGGAGUUAGUGGCGGACGGGUGAGUAACACGUGGGAACGUGCCUUUUGGUUCGGAAUAACUCAGGGAAACUUGUGCUAAUACCGAAUGUGCCCCUCGGGGGAAAGAUUUAUCGCCAUUAGAGCGGCCCGCGUCUGAUUAGCUAGUUGGUGAGGUAACGGCUCACCAAGGCGACGAUCAGUAGCUGGUCUGAGAGGAUGACCAGCCACACUGGGACUGAGACACGGCCGAGACUCCUACGGGAGGCAGCAGUGGGGAAUCCUGCGCAAUGGGCGAAAGGCUGACGCAGCCAUGCCGCGUGAAUGAUGAAGGUCUUAGGAUUGUAAAAUUCUUUCACCGGGGACGAUAAUGACGGUACCCGGAGAAGAAGCCCCGGCUAACUUCGUG